CGAUUUCUUGCGGUCCGUGUCUUUUCCCUCAGUCGGUUAAAUCUAAUGCGUGUUUGGUAUUUGUGUCGUGUGUUUCCUGAAGGAAACACGGUAUCUGCUGUUGCUGAUAUAGAGUCAGAAAUCUGCCGGCCACACCAAAAACGCUGUAAUUCCAAUGAACCUUUGCAUUUUUCCUCCGCACAUACUGUUCUUUCACUAGAAAACUUGUUCACUAAGGUGUUUUAUUUUGUACAUUUUGAAUUUUCAGUGGUACUCCACAGUUAUUUUAGAGCUAAGAACGACAGAUGGAAGAUGGUUUUUCGGCAAUGAAACAUUUCUUCGGCAAAAAGCUGAACGAAUCUAAGACGGAAUUACGGCGUUUUUUGGUGAGGACGGCAGAAACAUAAUGAACAUUAAUGAGCAAUAUGCGUCGUGAAAAAUAUUUUUAGACGAAUGCAUCUGCAGCUUGAGAUGGAAAACUCGACAAUUAUUAUCUUGAGAUGCGCCAAAUAAUGAAUCAGUAUAAUUUAGGAAGGGGUUCAGUGACAUUUCUGUGCUCUCGCGAAAAAUGCAUUUAAAGAUGAAGGUCACGUUAAAGCGCAUCCCUCAAAUUAAUCAGGACUCGAAGAUUUACGAGCAAAAUUAAGUACAAAAGACUGUGAAAUUGUUUGCUUGUUGAUAGCAGUGAGCCUGACUCUUUACUACUUAUGAAGAAAAAAAAGAAGAAAAAAAACAUGUUCGUUAGCAGAAAUAUGUAAGAAUUGUAUCAGAAUUUUGAGCCAUCAAAUAUUUUCUCCUUGCGGCAAAUGUUUCCUCUCGAAGCCUCAGGAGCAUUUAUUCACUUACGAAUUCAAUGUUUUUUAAGUGAGAUGAAAAUCGGUUACCCGAGGUGAUUGCGAUAGUCAAAAUGAAGAAGAAAUAAUUUGACGUAGGAUCAUUUCCCUAUUUUUUUAUGGAGGUGAUCCGUUUCUUCAAUUAAAUUUUGAUGAACCUCCGAAAAUUAUCCUCGAAAACCGUCCUCAUCCAAUCUGAUCGAUCGGUGUUGGAAAAAUUAUUACAAAACGCGAUUUCCUUACAAAAUAUUAUAUUUUUUAUUUUUUUUUUAUUUUUUUUUUUUUUGGCGGAGAGGGGAGGUAGCAAAAUAUCAAAUUUAGAUUUAAAAAAUCAAGCGGCUAAUUUUAAGACCUUGAUCACCCUGUAUCACCAAGCACUCUCAAGUUAUGUAAUCAGUCGGGCCUUAUCACCGCUAAGGACUUUUCGAUGUUGCCAAGUUUCCUCUCUGGGCCGUAGGCGUAACUCAACCAUGCGCCAUCUGAAUUUAUCUUCUAUACAUCUUAUCACUAAUUUGUUAUGUCAUUUCAUAAAUGUGCCUCUGAAAUCCUUGCUGUUUUGACAAGUUGACUCUCUUUAUAACGUCGGGCAUCACAACAUAAAGUGUGAGGGGGCUUUUCCCUACUAAUAGAAAACCGUUGCAGUAUCACGCGGAUGUCUCAACAUUUAUUGUGAUAAAAUACUAGGACUGUCAAAUUUGUGAAUAUUUUCCUUCGCAAUUUGCAUAUGAUUUUCGAAAUACUUCAUUUGAAAUAAAAACAAGACCAACAAAUUCAAAGAAAAAAUUCAAAAGAUUAGAGUCGUCAAUUUUCUCAAUAAUGAAAAUUGAUUUUAAGGACAUUUGGCAAAUUUAAAUAUUCGCAUGACUUCCUUCCGCAGAUUCGCGCUAUCGCGUGUUAGCAACUAGCUCAAAUCUCUGCCAACGCCAUUUCUGGAGGAAGCAAACAUGUUCAUACGGAUCGAACAUGUCUCUGAAGAUUUCCUGAUAUUACUAGGGAAAAUUACAGGAAGACACGGCUUUUGAUUGUAGAGAGGACAAUUUUACCUUAGAUGGUCAAAACAUAAGCUUUACAUUUGCUGCAUUCUAGUAUCAACUUUUGGGAACAUCGAUUAUGCUCUUUGCACCGAUAACUUAAGUCUGUAAAACGGUUGAAAAGAAAGUCUUUGCUUAAAAUAUGAGCCCGUUUCGUGCAAGGAUAAUUUUACUAAAAGGUCAGUCAUGUUAUCUAGUGUGUUAUCAAAAUCUUAUGGUUCUGAAUCCCGGCGUUACUGAGGUACUUUCAAAAACUGAAGGAAGAGGUUUCCAGAAAAUGUAGGUAAUUAAGCCGACACAGGUGUCCAUCACAGCUCAAAUUAGCGACUACCUUGAUGGUCGCUCGAUCAGUCUCCUCCCGGAGGACCCCAUGCCUGAAAACGUCCAAA